UGUGUAGGCGGUUUGAUAAGUUAGAUGUGAAAUCUUCGGGCUCAACCCGGAAACUGCAUUUAAUACUAUCAGACUAGAGUACGAAAGAGGGAGAUGGAAUUCUCGGUGUAAGAGUGAAAUCUGCAGAUAUCGAGAGGAACACCAGUAGCGAAGGCGAUCUCCUGGGUCGAUACUGACGCUGAAACACGAAAGCUAGGGGAGCGAACG
rnacentral:rRNA from 1 species